AAGGUCUUCGGAUUGUAAAGCCCUGUUUUCUAGGGACGAUAAUGACGGUACUAGAGGAGGAAGCCACGGCUAACUACGUGCCAGCAGCCGCGGUAAUACGUAGGUGGCGAGCGUUGUCCGGAUUUACUGGGCGUAAAGGGUGCGUAGGCGGAUGUUUAAGUGGGAUGUGAAAUCCCCGGGCUUAACCUGGGGGCUGCAUUCCAAACUGGAUAUCUAGAGUGCAGGAGAGGAAAGCGGAAUUCCUAGUGUAGCGGUGAAAUGCGUAGAGAUUAGGAAGAACACCAGUGGCGAAGGCGGCUUUCUGGACUGUAACUGACGCUGAGGCACGAAAGCGUGGGUAGCAAACAGGAUUAGAUACCCUGGUAGUCCACGCCGUAAACGAUGGAUACUAGGUGUAGGGGGUAUCAACUCCCCCUGUGCCGCAGUUAACACAAUAAGUAUCCCGCCUGGGGGAGUACGGUCGCAAGAUUAAAACUCAAAGGAAUUGACGGGGGCCCGCACAAGCAGCGGAGCAUGUGGUUUAAUUCGAAGCAACGCGAAGAACCUUACCUGGACUUGACAUCCCUUGCAUAGCCUAGAGAUAGGUGAAGCCCUUCGGGGCAAGGAGACAGGUGG
rnacentral:rRNA from 1 species